UCAUUUUUGUGAUGUUGCAGCU
rnacentral:miRNA from 5 species